UGGGGAAUAUUGGACAAUGGGGGAAACCCUGAUCCAGCCAUGCCGCGUGUGUGAAGAAGGCCUUUUGGUUGUAAAGCACUUUAAGCAGUGAAGAAGACUCCAUGGUUAGUACCCAUGGACGAUGACAUUAGCUGCAGAAUAAGCACCGGCUAUCUCUGUGCCAGCAGCCGCGGUAAUACAGAGGGUGCAAGCGUUAAUCGGAAUUACUGGGCGUAAAGCGAGCGUAGGUUGCUUGAUAAGUCAGAUGUGAAAGCC
rnacentral:rRNA from 1 species